rnacentral:rRNA from 1 species
AUUGAACGCUGGCGGCAUGCUUUACACAUGCAUGUCGAACGGUAACAGGCCUUCGGGCGCUGACGAGUGGCGAACGGGUGAGUAAUGCAUCGGAACGUGCCCAGUCGUGGGGGAUAACGCAGCGAAAGCUGUGCUAAUACCGCAUACGAUCUGCGGAUGAAAGCGGGGGACCUUCGGGCCUCGCGCGAUUGGAGCGGCCGAGGUCAGAUUAGGUAGUUGGUGGGGUAAAGGCUCACCAAGCCAACGAUCUGUAGCUGGUCUGAGAGGACGACCAGCCACACUGGGACUGAGACACGGCCCAGACUCCUACGGGAGGCAGCAGUGGGGAAUUUUGGACAAUGGGCGCAAGCCUGAUCCAGCAAUGCCGCGUGCAGGAAGAAGGCCUUCGGGUUGUAAACUGCUUUUGUACGGAGCGAAAAGGCUCCCUCUAAUACAGGGGGCUCAUGACGGUACCGUAAGAAUAAGCACCGGCUAACUACGUGCCAGCAGCCGCCGUAAAAC